GGACACUAAUAUUACUGGACCACCGCUUUACCGUGUAUCUGCGAUCUGGCGCGGUUCACAAUGGCUUGGAGAACUAGUGAGAGAAUUUACACCAAGAAAGAAAAUAAACAUUUCGUGUUCAAACACUUCUAGUGAUCUGCUCAGUGUGGAAUUCACACUAUGUCAACAUAGCAACGUGCACCUCAUAGCUGAAGUAACUCGGGGGUGCCUGUUGGUUGACAAACAGAUAGCUUUUUGAAUGACACAAGUAUAGGAAGAAGUAGCGCGCUAAUGUCUCCCUUGCACGCAAAUGAUGGUCACAUAGCGUUUGAUGUCGUUUACGAGGAUUAUGUAAACACUGAGUGGUCCUGUAAUCAUCCAUAUCUCCCCAGAGAAGCUGCACAUUGGUUGUCCAGGAUGGCAUGCCGAUGCAGUUCAUCUGCAGGGAGAUGCGCACUGUGGGCUGGUGCUUUUCUAUUAUGUAUUUUCAAUUGGCAUAACAUUCUACAACAAGUGGCUCAUGAAGGUGUGGUAAAGGACUUCCACUUUCCUUUAUUCAAGAUCCUAGUCCACCUCACUAUAAUAUUCUGUUUCUCUACACUGGCACGCUGUGCCUUGCAGUGCUGGAUGGGAAAGCUUCGAGUAACCUUGUCCAGGAAAGUCUACAUUUCUAAAGUUGCCCCAACAGCACCGACCCACCAUGGCAUGGACUAUACAAGACCCCUGAAGGUGACCUGUGGUUUCUGGCACCAAGACAUUAGCAGCAGAUCCUUCAAGUCCUCCCUGGCAACAGCGCUGGAUAUGGGACUAUCCAACUGGAGCUUCCUUUUCAUCACAAUCAGUUUGUCUACCCAGUUUUAUCUGGAGGGCUUCAUCAUGGUCCUCUUUGCCUCUUUUAUUGGAGGAAUCCGCUGGACUCUCACCCAAGUCCUAAUGCAGAAAGCUAAGCUGGGCCUCCAGAACCCCAUUGACACCAUGUACCAUCUGCAGCCCCUCAUGUUCCUGGGCCUCUUUCCUAUGUUUCUUCUUAAUGAGGGUUAUUUGGAUGGCUGAGUGUGAGUACCACAGAGAAGCUCUUCCAGGUCACCGAGCUCUCCCACCUGCUGUACUCUCUGGUGACUCUGUCUGUGGGGGGCUUGCUGGCUUUUGGACUCAGCUUCUCCGAGUUCCUGUUGGUGUCCCGCACGUCCAGCCUCACACUGUCUUUUGCAGGCAUUUCAUAAGAUACUUUCAGACCCAAUAUGAGUUUUGUUUUUGUUUUCAUUCACAUUUUUGCUUACAUUUUGUUUACAUUUAGCUUCCUAUUUUUAUUUUUUGCAUUCCUCAUGUUUUCCCAUGCAGAACCUCUCUAUAUACUGUAUCUUUUUAUUUCUGUCCCAUUCUCAGAAGUUCAGCUAGCUUUCAAAGCAAAGCCUUCAUUAGCUUUAUUAAAACAAAUAUUACUCAAAUAAGCAUUCUUCUUAAACACAUUACCCUGUCUUGUCUUUGUCACCCCUAGGAGGUGUGCACUCUGCUGCUGGCAGUAGAGUUCAUGGGGGAUAAAAUGAGUACAGUUAACUGGCUGGGCUUUGCCAUCUGUCUGUCUGGCAUAUCACUCCAUAUUGGCCUCAAAACACUAUAACAAAGGAAAUAGCCCUACGGUGAGAAAGCUACCAGGCAGAGACAACCCAGACAUUGAGCUUCCACUUCUGCUGGCAAAAGAAGACUAUUAUGAAGACACAAAUGAUGAAGAGGAGCAUGAGAUUCUCCAUUAGAUUGAGGAGGACAUAUAAUGCCACAAAAUCUAUAUACUGAAGAGGGCUGUAGAGACACAAGGAAUGUUCUCCUUUAAGGCCUUUAUUGAUGGUCACAUUGAUGACAGAAAGAGAACAAGACACAGAUAUGAUUUAAAAAGAUAUGAAAAGCCACUGGACACUUGUGGUAUAAUGCACUACUAGUGUAUAUAUCUAUGUAGUCUGUCUUUCUUUCAUACUGAAGGAACACAGAGAAAACCUUUGCUCUUUGGUAGACAGGAGAUCUCUUAAACUGCUUGUGGCCUCAGCACAGAACCAAUCUCCAAGUGGCCUUACUUCUGUUUACCUGACAAUAAAGGACUUAUUUUACUAAAGAUCCAUUCUUUAUCAGUACCUCAUCAUAAUUAGUUUACUUAUUAUGACCAAUAGAAUGUGAGAGAAUAACUAUACUGUACAUGUUUUGCAAUAUAAUGAAUGGACAAGGAUUCCUUCCCUUUUACUUUUAUGCCUGGCACUUAUAAAUGGUGUGUAUUUACCAAGGUUAAUCAUCAUUCAGCCUAUUUCUAUCAGACGUGUGAGAGGAGGCAGAGUUCAGCAAAGCAGAUUAUAUAAUUAGAUUUACUCCUUUGGAGCUUUCAUGAAGAGGGAAGAAAGUUUGCAAAUCCAUCAACCUGAAACUGGGUUGAUUGAGUUUGUCUAGUGGAUCGACAUGCAAGUGAAAGGACCGAUUUCAGUUCCGAGAACUUUGCAGAAGGAAAGGUUGUUUCAGGAGAUGGGAAUGAA